rnacentral:lncRNA from 1 species
GGAGGAACCCCCCUGUUGCUUCCGCCUCCCGGGGCGCAGGCGCUGGGCGCGGCGGGGAAGGGACUCGGCACUGGGGAAACCCGGAGUUUCAGCCAGGGUCCCAGGGCUUCCUUCCCGGGUUCCUGCCGGAAAACUUUUCUCCUCCGCCCGGAAGCCUCGAUGGGGCACCUGUCCUGCUCUGGCCUGCCCUGUGCUCAGGAAGCUGGCGGUCCCCCUCAGUGGAUCUUCACCCACAGGGACAACCUGCUGCAGACCGGGUAGGAGGGAGGCAGGGGCCUCUUCCCCUCUCCUUCCUGGCCUGGCCCCACACCCACCAGUGUUGGUUUCACUCUGUGGCUACGAUUCUUCCUGGGUGCCCUUUCCAUUGCACAACUCCUCUAGGCUCUACGAACAGAACUUCUCCCCGCCCCCAAGCCUCUUAGGGUGAGACAUGUUGUCGGUCUGCCAUUGUUGCUGGUCCCUAAAUAGCAGCACCCUUUGAAGGAUCCUUGAACCAUGACCACACCGCAACAAAGAGUCCUUCAUCAAACUCGCUUCCAAAUCCCCUCCCAAGAACACCUUCAGUUUCCUGCAAGAACCCUGACUGCUGAAGCCGGAUUUUGACUAAGCUUCUACCUUGUAAACCGUGACUGUGGGAUUGGGGUCGAGGCGCAAUCAGAGGUUGUAUAAGGCACUAGAUCAAGGCUGCCUGUCUGUCAGGAGUGUCUGCUUUAUUCAGUAGUAAAUGUGAAUUGUUUUUCAUUCUGUUGUGAAUACUGUUGGUUGACAAUGCAGCAGCCAUGCCCUCUCUAUCCUUGCUGGUUCAGGUAUCCACUCUGUGUGGCUAAGGGUAAACUCUGUCUCUUGAGAAAAUCUUGGUAACUCCAUUUCUCUUUCCAACAAUUGGCUUCAAACAAGCUCAAGUCAAUGAGUCCCAACAGGAAGCCUGCUGGGGGUUGUCUGGCAAAGGUUUUCUCACUCCUACAGGAACAUAAAGAGGAAAUGCUCCUUUUUCCCUGGUGAAUGUUGCAUUCCCUGUCUGGAUGCAAUGCCUGGUGCUCCGCAGCCCUUUGCACUUAUAAGAGAAGGUGGCCGGAAGAGCAUCUUCACCCUGGGGUGGCCGCCUGGGAAGAUGAGAAGAGCAGGAGUCCUUGGUGGCACAACCAGGCAAUUCACCAAAAUCCUGCUGCCCUCACCUGGAAUUUCCUGCUAUGAGAGACGUCUCCGUUUAAACCACAUGAGCUGGAUUUUCUGUUUCUAACACAUGUCAGCAUCUUCACGGUAAAUCUAAGAAAAAAAAAUCAGGGCUAUUAAAAAACAAAGUCCAACUCACCCUGUGCUAUGGUCUGAAGGUGUCCUCCCAAAUUCACACGUGGAAACCUAAUCCCAAAUACCUGAUACCUAAUCCCAAAUAUUAAGAGGUGGGGGCCUUGGGAGGUGGUUAGGAAUGGGAUUAGUGCCCUUUAAAACUGAGGUUUUUGGGAGCCUGCUUGCCCUUUCUGCCAUAUGAAGAUGCUUAGAAGAGGCCUUCUAUGAAGCAGAGAACUUUUCUCAGAUGCCAGAUCUGCUGGGACCUUGAUCUUGGAUUUCUCAGCCUUCAGAACUGUGGGAAGCAAACUUCUGUGUGUAUGAAUAGCCAUCUAAAGGAUUUUGUUACAGCAGCCUGAGCAGACUAAGACACCCUGUGAGUCAGUUAUUUUUGGCUGUGUCACGAGUGACCGCGAGUGCAGGAGCUGAAACGGCAGUGAGUGGGUUACCAUUUCUCAGGACCCUGCGGAAUUGGUGCGAUGGUGCUUCUGCUCCACCUGUUGUUGGCUGGGAUUGUCCUGCAGCUGCAUUCUUCUGGGGGUCAGCUGGGGCUGGAAGCUUCCUGUGGUCUAGUCACACAGCUGGGGUCUCAGCUAGGGUGAUAGAACACUGGGGGCAGGCCGGCCUUGCUGUCUCUCUCUGGCUUCUCAUCAUUCAGUGGUCUAGCCUGAGUUUUUUACAUGGCAGCUCAGGAGGGUCAAUGUGGACGCUAUACAGCCUGUAAGGCCCGGGUUUGGAAGUCCAAGAAUAUGACUUCUACCAUGUUCUACUGGUGAAUAUAAAUUCCAAGGCCAGCCUAGAUUCAAGGGAUAAGAACGUAGAUUUCACUCCUUGAUGGGAGGAUCCCAUGUACAGACAGGGAUCCUUAUGAGGGAUUAUGAGAACUCCUAAUCCUUAUGAGGGAUUAUCAUACAGAGAAUUUAUGGGGGAUUAUCUUUGGAAAUAAUCUACCAUAGACUGAAUAAAUGAUAAUGUAAUGU